rnacentral:rRNA from 1 species
UACGUAGGGUGCAAGCGUUGUCCGGAAUUAUUGGGCGUAAAGAGCUCGUAGGCGGUUUGUCGCGUCUGCUGUGAAAACCCGAGGCUCAACCUCGGGCCUGCAGUGGGUACGGGCAGACUAGAGUGCGGUAGGGGAGAUUGGAAUUCCUGGUGUAGCGGUGAAAUGCGCAGAUAUCAGGAGGAACACCGAUGGCGAAGGCAGAUCUCUGGGCCGUAACUGACGCUGAGGAGCGAAAGCAUGGGGAGCGAACAGG